rnacentral:rRNA from 1 species
UACGUAGGGUGCAAGCGUUGUCCGGAAUUAUUGGGCGUAAAGGGCUCGUAGGCGGUUUGUCGCGUCGGGAGUGAAAACUCAGGGCUUAACCCUGAGCCUGCUUCCGAUACGGGCAGACUAGAGGUAUGCAGGGGAGAAUGGAAUUCCUGGUGUAGCGGUGGAAUGCGCAGAUAUCAGGAGGAACACCGAUGGCGAAGGCAGUUCUCUGGGCCGUAACUGACGCUGAGGAGCGAAAGCGUGGGGAGCGAACAGG